rnacentral:rRNA from 1 species
UACGUAGGGUGCGAGCGUUAAUCGGAAUUACUGGGCGUAAAGCGUGCGCAGGCGGUUCGUUGUGUCGGCGGUGAAAGCCCCGGGCUUAACCUGGGAAUGGCCGUUGAAACUGGCGAACUGGAGUGUGGCAGAGGGGGGUGGAAUUCCGCGUGUAGCAGUGAAAUGCGUAGAGAUGCGGAGGGACACCGAUGGCGAAGGCAACCCCCUGGGCUAACACUGACGCUCAGGCACGAAAGCGUGGGGAGCAAACAGG